rnacentral:rRNA from 1 species
UCUUGGUUGUAAAUUAAUAAGUUAUUUACCAGAGUACUACGAAUACUAAAAAUUUAAAACUCAAAGGGCUUGGCGGUAUUUUAGACUGCUCAGGGGAACCUGUCUCAUAAUCGAUAAUCCGCGUUAAACCUAACCUCUUUUUGCGAUCAGCUUGUAUACCGUUGUCGUCAGGUAACUUUCUAGAAAUUAAAAGUUAGCCAUUAGCUAUAAACUAACAUGUCAAAUCAAGGUGCAGUUAAUAAAGAGGGGAAGAUGGGUUACAAUUAUAAAGUUAUAAAAACGGAAAGCUAUCAGAACUGAAGUUAUGAAGGAGGACUUGAAAGUAAAAUAGAUUAUAUAAAUAUUUUGAAUACAGCUCUGAAAUGUGC